ACAACAGCGAUAUUACACGUGAACUGGCUGCGCAAGUUUACUUCAUCGCCAUUUUUGUAUGCGAUUACAAUUAUACAUUAAUUUCUAACCAGCUUAUUCAGAUGAAGAUUCGGAAUUAAACAUGUAAUGUGGUUUGAAUAUUUGACAGGGGAGGGUACAACGGCUCACGUGACCACGUUGAACUCCGUCUUCAAUCACGUGAUCUCACUGUUGACCGGUGUCGUUUUUCAUAAUGAAGUCUUUCCGCACCGGCGUUGCAGCAAAUAGUCAUUGUUUGACCCACUAAUGUUGGCGAGAAGCAGACGUGUCCAGUUUUAGUCCAGUGUGUGCCUACCUUGCUAACUCAACUGCUGUUCCCUAAAAGCGGAGUAAACGUCUAUGAAUGGCAUGCUUCACGGCUAAAGGUUGACACCUCAGGGGAAGGUUUGGGCACAGCCUUAAUGCAUGGGGUAGGAGAAGAAAGGAAACCUAUUUUGUUGCUCAUUCGAAAGCUGUUUGAUAAAGAAAAGAAAUACCGGUAUGUGGAGUUGGAAAAGAAGGACUAGCUAUUAAACGGGCAAUUGACAGUUUAAGAUGUCAGCGGAAUUUGUUGUAGAGAGUGACCAUAGGGCUUUGCAAUGGAUGCAAUGAAUGAGACAUUCAAAUUCAUGUGUGGCCCGUUGAUAUUUAUCGCUCCAAACUUACAGAUUUCAGGCGCUCUAUGUUUCUGGAAAGAAAAAUCUUGUGGUUCCGACCAUGUGAACUUAAAUCUUGAUGGGAAGGGUAUGUGGUAAUAUGCAGCCUUGAGCAUUACCAAUUUAAGUAAAAGUAACCAUAAGCUGAACAUUUCUGCUUUUAAGAGUAAAGGUAAGGCAGCAUAAAAGAAUGGCGCUUAAGGUUCUGUGUUGAAGGCGCUCCCACGCAAAAGAAGUGCCGUCUCAGUGGGUUGCCAACCAACAGGGGUCACCAAUGGACAUAAAUGGUGAGGUAGAGAUAAGCACUGCUGAGAUAUAGGGAGCAGUUGUUUUCUGUUUUCUUGAUGGCUUUGUAAAUAUCUCUUUUAUAUAUAUAUAUAUAUAUAUCUCCGAGUUAUUGUUUUUGGUGGUGGUAUAUGUACAUAUUUGGUUUUGGUGCAGUUGCUUUUCUUUUUGCAUGUAUAGUACACACACACACACACACACUUGAUUUUGUUUCUUGUAAAUAUUUUUCUCUAUUUUUCCCCAUUGAAAAUCUUCCUGAUCCAGUUUCAAAGAAGGAGGACUGACUUUUUUGUAUGCGUCUGUUGUUUUUGUAUUGUGGACUAUUGGAGUGCACGGUACCUAAUAUCUUUUUUUGUUUAUUUUUAGUGUCCGUGCUGAAGGACUGUGAAUUAAAGCCUGCAUGGCACUGCUUUGUUUUUGUUUUACAGCACUGUUGUAAUAAACAUGUAACCUGUCACCUUUCA